rnacentral:snRNA from 1 species
AUGCUUACCUGGCAGGGGAGAUGCCAUGAACACGAAGGUGCUUUUCCCAGGGCGAGGCUUAUCCAUUGCAGUCCAGAUGUGCUGACCCCUGCGAUUUCCCCAAAUGCGGGAAACUCAACUGCAUAAUUGGUGGUAGUGGGGGACUGCGCUUGCGCUGUCCUCCA